rnacentral:snoRNA from 1 species
AGUCCAUGGUGUGGAUAGCAUCGCAAUAGGUCCUUGUACCUCUCCCAAGUUUCAUACAUCGACUCAUCUUCAAACUGCAUAAAAGAAGAUAUAUCAUUUCUAAGUUU